UGCACCAUUUUCUAAUUUACACAGAGCAAUUUAAGGUCUUUGCACUUUGCAUGCUGCUUGGACAAUAUGCCUGCAUUUUUCUGUUUUUAGCAAAUUUGGACGCUUUUAAAGGACUGCUGUAAAGAGGAUAUCAUUUCUGCCUGAAUGAGGUGUACUUUGAGUUUAACAGGGUUGUUGGUAGAAAUCUUAAAGAAGAGUUCUUUGGUGUUCUUGAUGGUUUGUGUCCAAGCUUGAUGGAAAUCUACAAGAGGAAGACAGGUUGGAUAGGCAAGCAGUUAGCUGACCUGGUACAACAGAUAAUGAGCACCAACAGCCAAUAGAUGCCUUGUGCUGAGAGGACUUCCAGUCAUUCUUGGGGAUGAUGCGUCUAUGUUCUUUAAGAGCAGUUCGGAUCUUAAUGAGGGAGACUGUGGACAUUCCCAUGGGAAUCCUCUGCUAUGAGGACACCAGUGCUGCAAGCGCUGCAAGCCCAGCACAGAGCAAAAAAUUUAAAAACUAUGCUGUGAUUGUAUUUGGAAGGAAUACAAUACCUAAUUCAAUACACAUGUUCUGUUUGCUGCAUCAUAGAAAAGUACUGUAAGGUAAUAUCUGCAGCAAAAAGUAAGAAUAUACUGUUGGCAAAGACCCAUUUUAAUAAUUUUAUGAAAACAAGGUCUUACUGUUAUUUUGGAUUUGCAUCUGGUAUUUAACACAGCAUCAUUGUUAAUACAUAUUUGUUGCUUUGAUGUGUGUCUAAAUAAAAUAAAUAAAAUGUA